AGCAUGAGAAGUUUGGUAUUCUCGCUGCAUUAUCGGAGGAUCACCGGAAAACUGACCUGCCUGUUCUCCGUCGGAAGUCUUCAAUCACUUCCUCGCCUUCCGGCACGGCGCCGAUUUCAGCUUCGCCUUCUACAGUGAUGCCGUUUUCCCGUGCAAUGCCUUCAAUUCCUAAGCCUCCAUCGGAUAAUUUUAAUCCCUUCCGGUACGGAGCCGAUUUCAGCUUCGCCUUCUACAGUUAUGCCGUUUUCACGUGCAAUACAUUCAGUUCCUAAGCCUCCAUCGGAUAAUUUUAAUUUUAAUC
rnacentral:lncRNA from 1 species